rnacentral:lncRNA from 1 species
GAGGGAAGGACUCCAGAAGCCCAAAUAGUUUCUCUAUGUUUUGUGUCUGUGCUAUUUGGUUCCCCUAAUGUAGCAGCACAAAUGCUAUGUAUUCAGGUGAAGCUUACUUCAAAGAAGGAAGAAAGAAGAAGAAAAGAAGAUGUAUAAUUUUUGGCAGCCAGGCCCCAUUUUGGCUGAGCACAGAAGUGCAGGACCUAGGAAGGAUGUGCUUCCUCCAGAAAUGAAACACACCGUGGAAUGGCUCCAUCAUUUCCAGACCUGAGCUGGGAUGUCCUGUUAUGCCAUGUGAGCUUUUCCAUGGGAUUUGCACUAACUGUUAGAUGCCUGCCCUGUACACAGAUCACCAAAAUAUGUUAAGUGAGUUCCUAUGUGCUAAAUGCUUUCCAGACUUCCCUCAGUAUCUGUUUCUAGC